rnacentral:rRNA from 1 species
UACGGAGGGUGCGAGCGUUGUCCGGAAUCACUGGGCGUAAAGGGCGCGUAGGCGGCGCGGGUAGUCGUCGGUGAAAGCUCAGGGCUCAACUCUGAGUCGGCCGGUGAUACUCCCGUGCUCGAGCACUGUAGAGGCAGGUGGAAUUCCGGGUGUAGCGGUGGAAUGCGUAGAGAUCCGGAAGAACACCGGUGGCGAAGGCGGCCUGCUGGGCAGUAGCUGACGCUGAUGCGCGAGAGCGUGGGGAGCGAACAGG